rnacentral:rRNA from 1 species
UGCUACCAUGCAGUCGAGCGAUGAGCCUUUCGGGGUGGAUUAGCGGCGGACGGGUGAGUAACACGUGGGUAACCUGCCUUAUAGAGGGGGAUAGCCUUCCGAAAGGAAGAUUAAUACCGCAUGAAAUGUUUUUAUCGCAUGGUAGAAACAUCAAAGGAGUAAUCCGCUAUAAGAUGGACCCGCGGCGCAUUAGCUAGUUGGUGAGGUAACGGCCCACCAAGGCGACGAUGCGUAGCCGACCUGAGAGGGUGAUCGGCCACAUUGGAACUGAGACACGGUCCAGACUCCUACGGGAGGCAGCAGUGGGGAAUAUUGCGCAAUGGGGGAAACCCUGACGCAGCAACGCCGCGUGAAUGAAGAAGGCCUUAGGGUUGUAAAGUUCUGUUUUCUGGGACGAUAAUGACGGUACCAGAGGAGGAAGCCACGGCUAACUACGUGCCAGCAGCCGCGGUAAUACGUAGGUGGCAAGCGUUGUCCGGAUUUACUGGGGCGUAAAGGAUGCGUAGGCGGAUGUUUAAGUGAGAUGUGAAAUACCCGAGCUCAACUUGGGUGCUGCAUUUCAAACUGGAUAUCUAGAGUGCAGGAGAGGAAAGCGGAAUUCCUAGUGUAGCGGUGAAAUGCGUAGAGAUUAGGAGACACCAGUGGCGACGCGCUUUCUGGACUGUACUGACGCUGAGCACGAAGCGUGGGGAGCGAACAGGAUUAGAUACCCUGGUAGUC